rnacentral:rRNA from 1 species
ACUCCUACGGGAGGCAGCAGUGGGGAAUAUUGCACAAUGGGCGAAAGCCUGAUGCAGCGACGCCGCGUGAGGGAUGACGGCCUUCGGGUUGUAAACCUCUUUCAGCAGGGACGAAGCGCAAGUGACGGUACCUGCAGAAGAAGCACCGGCUAACUCUGUGCCAGCAGCCGCGGUAAUACGUAGGGCGCAAGCGUUAUCCGGAA